CUAAAUAACUAAAUUGUUCAGAUGAAUCAAAAGCUUGUGGUAAAUCAAAACCCUGUGCUUGACUUACUUUUCAUGUACUAUUCUGUGGAAAAUCUGGUGUCAUAGUCUGUGCUGGAGAUGAAACAAAAAGAAACUGACUUCUGUGCUGAGGAGGAAGUAUCAUUAGCCGUUAGUUAGAGGAUCUGCAUACGUAAGGUACGUAAAACUAAUUGUUCGAUGUGUUCGUGUUAGAUUCCGACUGCACGUAUUAUCGACAGAACAGCCUUGAUCUAGUGAUCUUUUAUUUACUGCUCUAGUCUUCCAGCACACGUGAUACAUGGAGUGUUUUGUGACUAGUUUCGACAGAAUUGAGUGUGUUAUGAGAGAAUGUUUGUGUGCAUUCUUAGGAUGGUCACGGAACUUUGUUGAGAAAGAGAAAAGAAAGAUUUAAAAACGGACUACUCGCGAGUUGCUGCUCGUUCAAGACGAUUUCCGCGUCUUCUGUGCAGACGACCAGGUUUCGCACGGGAGUUUGGCAGUGCAUCCAAGCUUCAGAGAGACACAUGUGGCUCCAGAGCCUUGUUUUGCGGACCCCACAACUUAGGGCCAUAAAGGUACUCAUGAGAGAACAUCAGAGAGCAGAGCACCAGGUCCAGAGGGCCUCAGGAUGGAAACAGCCCAGGAGAAUUGUCAAAAUAGAUGCAGUUCCGCUUUAAGGCCACAAAGCUCUAAUGGCACGGACAUGCAGAUCACUUUGACGUCACUUGGAGAUCACUUGGACGUCACCUAGAAGUCACUUGGAGGUUGCUUGGAUGUCACUGAGGUCACUUGGACGUCACUUAGACUUUACUUUGAGGUCACUUGGACGUCACUUGGAGAUCACUUUGACGUCACUUGGAGAUCACUUGGACGUCACCUAGAAGUCACAUGGAGGUUGCUUGGACGUCCCUUUGAGGUCACUUGGAUGUCGCUUUGAGGUCACUUGGAGGUCGCUUGGACAUCACUUUGAGGUGUGUUUGUGUUUAAAAGUCCAA